rnacentral:rRNA from 1 species
CUCCUACGGGAGGCAGCAGUGAGGAAUAUUGGUCAAUGGACGAGAGUCUGAACCAGCCAAGUAGCGUGCAGGAUGACGGCCCUAUGGGUUGUAAACUGCUUUUAUAAGGGAAUAAAGUGAGUCUCGUGAGACUUUUUGCAUGUACCUUAUGAAUAAGGACCGGCUAAUUCCGUGCCAGCAGCCGCGGUAAUACGGAAGGUCCGGGCGUUAUCCGGAUUUAUUGGGUUUAAAGGGAGCGUAGGCCGGAGAUUAAGCGUGUUGUGAAAUGUAGAUGCUCAACAUCUGAACUGCAGCGCGAACUGGUUUCCUUGAGUACGCACAAAGUGGGCGGAAUUCGUGGUGUAGCGGUGAAAUGCUUAGAUAUCACGAAGAACUCCGAUUGCGAAGGCAGCUCACUGGAGCGCAACUGACGCUGAAGCUCGAAAGUGCGGGUAUCGAACAGGAUUAGAUACCCUGGUAGUCCGCACGGUAAACGAUGGAUGCCCGCUGUUGGUCUGAAUAGGUCAGCGGCCAAGCGAAAGCAUUAAGCAUCCCACCUGGGGAGUACGCCGGCAACGGUGAAACUCAAAGGAAUUGACGGGGGCCCGCACAAGCGGAGGAACAUGUGGUUUAAUUCGAUGAUACGCGAGGAACCUUACCCGGGCUUGAAUUGCAGAGGAAGGAUUUGGAGACAAUGACGCCCUUCGGGGCCUCUGUGAAGGUGCUGCAUGGUUGUCGUCAGCUCGUGCCGUGAGGUGUCGGCUUAAGUGCCAUAACGAGCGCAACCCCUCUCCUUAGUUGCCAUCAGGUCAUGCUGGGCACUCUGGGGACACUGCCACCGUAAGGUGUGAGGAAGGUGGGGAUGACGUCAAAUCAGCACGGCCCUUACGUCCGGGGCUACACACGUGUUACAAUGGGGGGUACAGAAGGCAGCUACCUGGCGACAGGAUGCUAAUCCCAAAAACCUCUCUCAGUUCGGAUCGAAGUCUGCAACCCGACUUCGUGAAGCUGGAUUCGCUAGUAAUCGCGCAUCAGCCAUGGCGCGGUGAAUACGUUCCCGGGCCUUGUACACACCGC